rnacentral:sRNA from 1 species
UUUUUGUUUUGGAGGGUCAAGUUUGGUGCCCGAUGCUUUUCCAACGGUGAAACUUUUACCCUCGCAAAUCCGUCGGAAAUAUAAAAUAUUUUUCUUAUACAUGUAUAAAGUCCUCAUCUCAUUUCCAAAUGAGUGAACUCGGCGUUACAAACACGCUCUUGAGAUACUUAUAACAUCAAUCAUUUCCUUUUCGUGGCUAGUUUCCAUGUCCUUGGAGUGAAAUUUCUGUGAAUCUGCAUUGAGAAUUAGAUUUGAUAUAAUCUUGCUUUGUUUGACUUGAGUACUAGCUCACAAAACUUCUACUUAAGGCAAAUUUUCUAAGUUUAUGAUAGUUAUGUGUGUGUAUUGAUGCACAAAAAUGCAUUGAUGUGCAUUCUUCUAGGAGCUUAUUCAAGUCUGACUUAUAACAUGUUACAGAGUGGAUGGUUCAGAUAAAGAAUCAAAGAUCUCAGAUGAUGAUUAUGGCGGGACGUUUCUGCUUGUGACGUGUUCUCCACCUAGAUUUGAUCGAUAACUCUAACCACACAAUAAUAGUGCUGAAUUGAGAUAGAAAUUUAAUGAAGCUUUUGAUCAAUAAUGGUGACGACGAGAGGCUCCAUCUAAGUCGACGAAGAAGACAAAAUAUAUUAGAGUUCAUGAACUCAACGUGGGUUUAGUAGUUUCAACCUAUAGAGGAAAAAUAAAAACAGAUCAAAGAUAAUCAAAUAAAAACCAAAAAUCGUUGGAGAGAGAUUUGUUUACCCCUUCACGUGGAUGCUAUUAUUAAAAGACGACUACGUCUAUGAAUUUGAUGAGCUAACAACUGAAGGCGACGAACAGAUCACGACUAUGACUUUUUUGAUGAGCUAAGAACGGAAGAAGGCGACUAUAGCUUGUUCAAUAUAUAAUUUUGAGAAGAUGUGGGGAUGCUAAAUCCUAUUUUUCUUUUUAUUAUUAUCCACAAAUUUUAUUUGAGUAAAUCCUAUUAAACUUAUUUUU